rnacentral:rRNA from 1 species
UGCUUACACAUGCAAGUCGAACGGUAACAGGGUGCUUGCACCGCUGACGAGUGGCGAACGGGUGAGUAAUGCAUCGGAAUGUACCGUGUAAUGGGGGAUAGCUCGGCGAAAGCCGGAUUAAUACCGCAUACGCCCUGAGGGGGAAAGUGGGGGACCGUAAGGCCUCACGUUAUACGAGCAGCCGAUGUCUGAUUAGCUAGUUGGUGGGGUAAAGGCUCACCAAGGCUUCGAUCAGUAGCGGGUCUGAGAGGAUGAUCCGCCACACUGGGACUGAGACACGGCCCAGACUCCUACGGGAGGCAGCAGUGGGGAAUUUUGGACAAUGGGCGCAAGCCUGAUCCAGCCAUGCCGCGUGUCUGAAGAAGGCCUUCGGGUUGUAAAGGACUUUUGUCCGGGAGCAAAUCCCAGUGGUUAAUACCUACUGGGGCUGAGAGUACCGGAAGAAUAAGCACCGGCUAACUACGUGCCAGCAGCCGCGGUAAUACGUAGGGUGCAAGCGUUAAUCGGAAUUACUGGGCGUAAAGCGUGCGCAGGCGGUUGUGCAAGUCUGAUGUGAAAGCCCCGGGCUUAACCUGGGAACGGCAUUGGAGACUGCAUGACUAGAGUGCGUCAGAGGGGGGUAGAAUUCCGCGUGUAGCAGUGAAAUGCGUAGAGAUGCGGAGGAAUACNCGAUGGCGAAGGCAGCNCCCUGGGAUGACACUGACGCUCAUGCACGAAAGCGUGGGGAGCAAACAGGAUUAGAUANNCUGGUAGUCCACGCCCUAAACGAUGUCAACUAGCUGUUGGGGGUUUGAAUCCUUGGUAGCGAAGCUAACGCGAGAAGUUGACCGCCUGGGGAGUACGGCCGCAAGGUUAAAACUCA